GGGCCCUUCCCAACUCAUUAUGGUGCUGUAGCUUUCUUCAUAAGUGCAUUGCUGACCGUCCUUCGCAAGAGCGAGUUACACCAUUGCUUGUAUGCCUUCAUGACCUCCAAUAGAACCACUCUAGAAACUUUUUUCCAAAGUUUCACACCAUACAAAAAUAAGUCAGAUGUUCAACACUUGAACAAACUGAUUUUUGGACAA
rnacentral:lncRNA from 1 species